UACGUAGGGAGCAAGCGUUGUCCGGAUUUAUUGGGCGUAAAGAGCUCGUAGGCGGCUUAGAAAGUCAGGUGUGAAACCUCCAGGCUCAACCUGGAGACGCCACUUGAUACUUCUAUGGCUUGAGUUCGGUAGGGGUAAGCGGAAUUCCUGGUGUAGCGGUGAAAUGCGCAGAUAUCAGGAGGAACACCGAUGGCGAAGGCAGAUCUCUGGGCCGUAACUGACGCUGAGGAGCGAAAGCAUGGGGAGCGAACAGG
rnacentral:rRNA from 1 species